rnacentral:rRNA from 1 species
GACGAACGCUGGCGGCGUGCUUAACACAUGCAAGUCGAGCGGUAAGGCCCUUCGGGUACGACGAGCGGCGAACGGGUGAGUAACACGUGGGUGACCUGCCCUUAGCUCUGGGAUAAGCCUGGGAAACUGGGUCUAAUACCGGAUAUGACCUCAUGACGCAUGUUGUGGGGUGGAAAGCCUUGUGCGGCUAGGGAUGGGCCCGCGGCCUAUCAGCUUGUUGGUGGGGUGGUGGCCACCAAGGCGACGACGGGUAGCCGGCCUGAGAGGGCGACCGGCCACACUGGGACUGAGACACGGCCCAGACUCCUACGGGAGGCAGCAGUGGGGAAUCUUGCGCAAUGGGCGAAAGCCUGACGCAGCGACGCCGCGUGAGGGAUGACGGCCU